UACGUAGGCAGCGAGCGUUGUUCGGAGUUACUGGGCGUAAAGCGUGCGCAGGCGGUUUUGUAAGCCAGAUGUGAAAUCCCCGGGCUUAACCUGGGAAUGGCAUUUGGGACUGCAAGGCUGGAGUGUGGCAGAGGAGACUGGAAUUCCCGGUGUAGCAGUGAAAUGCGUAGAUAUCGGGAGGAAUACCGAUGGCGAAGGCAGGUCUCUGGGCUGACACUGACGCUCAUGCACGAAAGCGUGGGGAGCAAACAGG
rnacentral:rRNA from 1 species